rnacentral:rRNA from 1 species
UACAGAGGGUGCAAGCGUUAAUCGGAAUUACUGGGCGUAAAGGGCGCGUAGGCGGCCUGCUAAGUCGAACGUGAAAUCCCCGGGCUCAACCCUGGGAUGCCGGUCGAUACUGCCGGACUAGAGUUCGGAAGAGGCGAGUGGAAUUCCCGGUGUAGCGGUGAAAUGCGCAGAUAUCGGGAGGAACACCAAUGGCGAAGGCAGCUCGCUGGGACGUUACUGACGCUGAGACGCGAAAGCGUGGGGAGCAAACAGG